GUUCGCUUCGGCAGCACAUACACUAAAAUUGGACUGAUUACAGAGGUUAGCGUGGCCCCUGCACAAGGAUGUCACGCAAAUUCGUGAAGCGUUCCAUAUUUUU